CCUAAGGUAGCGAAAUUCCUUGUCGGGUAAGUUCCGACCUGCACGAAUGGCGUAAUGAUGGCCAGGCUGUCUCCACCCGAGACUCAGUGAAAUUGAACUCGCUGUGAAGAUGCAGUGUACCCGCGGCAAGACGGAAAGACCCCGUGAACCUUUACUAUAGCUUGACACUGAACAUUGAGCCUUGAUGUGUAGGAUAGGUGGGAGGCUUUGAAGUGUGGACGCCAGUCUGCAUGGAGCCGACCUUGAAAUACCACCCUUUAAUGUUUGAUGUUCUAACGUUGGCCCGUUAUCCGGGUUGCGGACAGUGUCUGGUGGGUAGUUUGACUGGGGCGGUCUCCUCCUAAAGAGUAACGGAGGAGCACGAAGGUUGGCUAAUCCUGGUCGGACAUCAGGAGGUUAGUGCAAUGGCAUAAGCCAGCUUGACUGCGAGCGUGACGGCGCGAGCAGGUGCGAAAGCAGGUCAUAGUGAUCCGGUGGUUCUGAAUGGAAGGGCCAUCGCUCAACGGAUAAAAGGUACUCCGGGGAUAACAGGCUGAUACCGCCCAAGAGUUCAUAUCGACGGCGGUGUUUGGCACCUCGAUGUCGGCUCAUCACAUCCUGGGGCUGAAGUAGGUCCCAAGGGUAUGGCUGUUCGCCAUUUAAAGUGGUACGCGAGCUGGGUUUAGAACGUCGUGAGACAGUUCGGUCCCUAUCUGCCGUGGGCGCUGGAGAACUGAGGGGGGCUGCUCCUAGUACGAGAGGACCGGAGUGGACGCAUCACUGGUGUUCGGGUUGUCAUGCCAAUGGCACUGCCCGGUAGCUAAAUGCGGAAGAGAUAAGUGCUGAAAGCAUCUAAGCACGAAACUUGCCCCGAGAUGAGUUCUCCCUGACUCCUUGAGAGUCCUGAAGGAACGUUGAAGACGACGACGUUGAUAGGCCGGGUGUGUAAGCGCAGCGAUGCGUUGAGCUAACCGGUACUAAUGAACCGUGAGGCUUAACCUU
rnacentral:rRNA from 1 species